rnacentral:ncRNA from 1 species
GUAGAGUAAAUAUUGCGCGUUAAGUGCUAUGAGAUGGGAUGUUGCUCAUAGACGAAGGUUUUUUAACCGCGGUGCAAUAUUGCGUCCGCUGC